CUGGAUGAGAAUUCUAAAUGCAUUUUCCUACAUUGCCAAUUUCAGGGUUUCAUUGGAUGGAAGAAUGGCUAUUAAAGUGGAAUCAGUGAGAAUGCACACAAUGUCUCCAGGAUGCUAGCAGGAACUGAUUACAUGGGAAUAUGAUGGUACGACUGGAAUCAGCAUCUUAAAAGUAGGAGUCUUUGGAACUUCAAUAUCCAGGAGCCACAACCAGUUUGUCCAACUAUCAGGAAUUUUGUGAGCUGAAAUCUAAAACACCUGGAGGAACAAUGAUUGGAAACUGCUGGACUAAAGUUUACAAAGUAACAAUAAAUAUACCACAUGGGCUCUCUAACAAUUUUGAUGCUGAUGCUACUAAGAAGUAAUCCACCUUUAAAGGAAAAAGAAGAUAAACACUCAGCUUACACUGGAGGUUCUUCAUAUACUAGAAAGACAUAAAAAAGAAAACAAUGCAUCCUUAGUAUUUUCAGGUAGGAUCCUCUGUUCAUGUCUAUUAGCUCGAUGGGGUAGAAGUCUUAGAUCCAUCUGGAUUUCCCACCAGUUGAAUCUGGUUUCUUAGUAUGUUACUAUAGCAUUUUUAAAACAUCUCUUCAAAUAUUCCUGCUGUGGAUUGCAACUGAUCAAGCCAGUUUGUUGUUCUCAGUUGGGAGUGUUUUGUAAGUAGGAGAAAUAAAGCCCUUGCAAUCUUCAAGAGUCAAUAGGCAAGUGUGAAAGGUUUUGAAUGCUAACUGUAUUUUCCCCUUUGCGAUAGAAAGAAUAGCUCAUCUUUAUUUCAUGUGGUAACUCCUCAGCACUUCUAUAAAUUAUUUAAUCUCUUUGUUCAGAGUUUGCAGAAGCAUCAUAAAAAUAAUGUGUCAUGAAUGCUCCUAGAUGGUAUGAGGAGGUGUGGGAACGUAGUGUUGCCUCAUCUAAGCAGAUAAAAACUCGUACUGAGCAAUUUUGAAAGUAUUUCCUGACUGCACACGAAUUCCUCUAUACUGAAGGGUAUAAAAAUGCCUCAUUGUCAGAGUCCUGUCUACCAAAUUACUGUUAAACAGCUGCACACAGUAUCAUAGUCUAAAGUAGUCUGAGGUCAUCCAUAGCAGUCAGUCAAAAUAAGAGUGAGCCACAAGAGUUGUCCAUAGUCCUUUCCAAGAUGUUCAAAGCCAAGUCAUCACAUCAAAACUGAGGCUGUUAUUAUAGAAAUUUGAAAACUGAAGGAAGUUUUCAUGGAUGUGAAGAAUUCUUCUUUUGGACUCAAUGUCUUCUACUUUCCACUCUAUAGUUAUGGCCUUGGUUCACAAAACACUAACAUUCAGAAAGAACAUCUUUAGAGAGGGCAUUGAUGAAGCAAAAGAUCAGGGAAGCAAAAGGAAGCCUUCAUGUGCUGAAGUAAAUAUUCCUGACGGACAGUUUCAAGGGGCCAGUGCUUUGUUGCCUCAACAAAAAAGCCAUGCCUGGCCUCCAUAUUAAUGCUGUGACCAAGGACAUUAUUGAACGAUGCUCUUAAGACAGGUUCUGACAUUGCAAACCCACCUUGCUUGUAUGGAUAGCUAUGAUUUUUGUUGAACCAAUCCAUUUUACAAGUAGUUUGAGAAAGCCCAGAGUGCUUUUAACUUAUUGCAACUGCUGGGAUGUAACUCCUGUGCAUUGCCCCUUUUUGUCUAUGCUCUCCUUUAAUUUUUUUUAUGUGGAAUCAUUGUGUAACUAGGUGAGUUCAGAAUCUCAUAGUUGUUUCUGCAUUUCCAAGUUCACAAGCUUUGUCCUUAAAAAUACUUCAAAUUAAUUACAAGCUUUUCCCUAUUUUGUGUAUUCUGCAAGGGAGAGGUGCACUUUUGAUUGGCAAAUCCUUCCUAGGCUGAAAGAGGAUUCAUCUGCUGGAUCUUUUACCAGAUAGAUUUGCAAACAGAAAAUUUCAAUUAAUUUUCAAAAGACGCAUUUUGCAAUUACAAACCUUUUCCUGUUUUGUGUAUUUUGCAGGGGGGCAUAGUUCUGAUUGGGAAUCCUUGUUUAGCAUUGCACUAGCAUGUACGAGCUGGAGGUUUUGAAGGCAAAAACAUCUGGGGACCCACAGGUUGAGAACCACUGCUCCAGGACAAUGUUCCCAACCAUUGAUUCUCCAUGUGUUUUGGACUUUAGCUCCCAGAAUUCCUAGCUGAGGCUUCUGGGAGUUGAAGUCCAAAACACCUGGAGAACCAAAGAUUUGGAACCACUGCUCUAGGGGGCUUUCCCUUAUUCAAACAUCCAUCACAGUGGUUCCCAGCCUUUGGACUCCAAGUGUUUUGGACUUCAACUCCCAGAAAUCUCAGCCAAAUUACCAGCUGUUAGGAACUGUGGGAGCUGAAAUCCAAAACACCUGGGGGCCCAAGGUUGGCAACCACUGCUCCAGCAGGCAUGAACCAUCAAUAGAUCAGAUAUGAACUAUGUGGCAGGGAUUCCUUUGCUGGUCCUCAAGUAACCUAUGUGUGUCUUUGUUGAUGGAAGGUCCUAGUAGCUGUAGUCCAGAAAGUGAGUUUUUCAAGCACUGUAAAUAAAAAAGAAGUAAAGAAAACCCACUUUACCAAUCCAAAGCUAAUGCUGUAAAUGCAUUACAAUCAAAACUGAAAUUCUUGCAGUUAUAGUACAGUGAACUAGACAGUGAUUUGCCAUUAUAGCCUGAAUGAAAUUAACAUUGGUUUUCUGUAGGCUGGAUAAGUGUUUACACCAAAUAGUUUCUGAAGCCAGAAAAUAAUGAUGGUUAUGUGUUUGUUCAGUUUCUGAAGAGUUGCAUAUCUGCUAGCUUAGUUAUGUUAGAGAGUGAAAUCAGAAGGGAAUAAUAAAGGAAAGGACUUAAGAAAGAAAACAGUUCUGAGGAAAGACUUAGAAGAUGAAAGAAAUGUCCAAUAUUUGUUUAUUUUUGAUUGGAAGAAAAUUUAUUUUUAGUUGGAAGCUCAACUGCACAUUUCCCUCCAAUUCUUUACAUCUUGUUUUUCUAUUAUACACUGACUUGAGA